rnacentral:rRNA from 1 species
GUGGGGAAUCUUAGACAAUGGGGGCAACCCUGAUCUAGCCAUGCCGCGUGAGUGAUGAAGGCCUUAGGGUCGUAAAGCUCUUUCGCUGGGGAAGAUAAUGACGGUACCCAGUAAAGAAACCCCGGCUAACUCCGUGCCAGCAGCCGCGGUAAUACGGAGGGGGUUAGCGUUGUUCGGAAUUACUGGGCGUAAAGCGCGCGUAGGCGGAUUGGAAAGUUGGGGGUGAAAUCCCGGGGCUCAACCCUGGAAUGGCCUUCAAAACUCCCAGUCUUGAGGUCGAGAGAGGUGAGUGGAAUUCCGAGUGUAGAGGUGAAAUUCGUAGAUAUUCGGAGGAACACCAGUGGCGAAGGCGGCUCACUGGCUCGAUACUGACGCUGAGGUGCGAAAGCGUGGGGAGCAAACAGGAUUAGAAACCCCUGUAAUCC